UGAGCAAUCUGCCCUUCUCAUCGGAAUAAGCGUUGGAAACGACGUCUAAUGCCGAAUACGACCUCCUUUCGCAUGAUCGGAGGUGGAAAGCUCCGGCGGAGAAGGAUGAGCUCGCGGCCUAUCAGCUAGUUGGUGUGGGUAACGCCCACCAAGGCGACGACGGGUAGCCGGCCUGAGAGGGUGACCGGCCACACUGGGACUGAGACACGGCCCAGACUCCUACGGGAGCAGCAGG
rnacentral:rRNA from 1 species